rnacentral:rRNA from 1 species
UACGAAGGGGGCUAGCGUUGCUCGGAAUCACUGGGCGUAAAGGGCGCGUAGGCGGCCAUUCAAGUCAGAGGUGAAAGCCCAAGGCUCAACCUUGGAACUGCCUUUGAUACUGUUUGGCUUGAGACCGGUAGAGGUAAGUGGAACUGCGAGUGUAGAGGUGAAAUUCGUAGAUAUUCGCAAGAACACCAGUGGCGAAGGCGGCUUACUGGACCGGUAUUGACGCUGAGGCGCGGAAAGCCAGGGGAGCAAAGCGGGG